UACAGAGGGUGCGAGCGUUAAUCGGAAUUACUGGGCGUAAAGCGCGCGUAGGCGGCUUUGCAAGUCGAGUGUGAAAUCCCCAGGCUUAACCUGGGAACUGCAUUCGAGACUGCAUAGCUAGAGUAUGGGAGAGGGAAGUGGAAUUUCAGGUGUAGCGGUGAAAUGCGUUGAUAUCUGAAGGAACAUCAGUGGCGAAAGCGACUUCCUGGACCAAUACUGACGCUCAUGUGCGAAAGCGUGGGGAGCAAACAGG
rnacentral:rRNA from 1 species